rnacentral:misc_RNA from 1 species
GAUGAAGAACGUAGCGAAAUGCGAUACGUAAUGUGAAUUGCAAAUUCAGUGAAUCAUCGAGUCUUUGAACGCACAUUGUGCCCCCUGGUAUUCCGGGGGGCAUGCCUGUCCGAGCGUCAUUGCUGCCCUCAAGCACGGCUUGUGUGUUGGGCCCCGUCCUCCGAUCCCGGGGGACGGGCCCGAAAGGCAGCGGCGGCACCGCGUCCGGUCCUCGAGCGUAUGGGCUUUGUCACCCGCUCUGUAGGCCCGGCCGGCGCUUGCCGAUCAACCCAAAUUUUUAUCCAGGUUGACCUCGGAUCAGGUAGGGAUACCCGCUGAACUUAAGCAUAUCAAUAAGCGGAGGA